rnacentral:rRNA from 1 species
GUGGGGAAUCUUGCGCAAUGGGCGAAAGCCUGACGCAGCCAUGCCGCGUGAAUGAUGAAGGUCUUAGGAUUGUAAAAUUCUUUCACCGGGGACGAUAAUGACGGUACCCGGAGAAGAAGCUCCGGCUAACUUCGUGCCAGCAGCCGCGGUAAUACGAAGGGGGCUAGCGUUGCUCGGAAUUACUGGGCGUAAAGGGCGCGUAGGCGGACAGCUUAGUCAGAGGUGAAAGCCCAGGGCUCAACCUUGGAAUUGCCUUUGAUACUGGCUGUCUUGAGUUUGGGAGAGGUGAGUGGAACUCCGGGUGUAGAGGUGAAAUUCGUAGAUAUUCGGAAGAACACCAGUGGCGAAGGCGACUCACUGGUCCAAUACUGACGCUGAGGCGCGAAAGCGUGGGGAGCAAACAGGAUUAGAAACCCGGGUAGUCC